GGAGGGGUGGCCGAGUGGUUGAAGGCGCGCGCUUGGAAAGCGUGUAUGCGGGAAGCCGUAUCGUGGGUUCGAAUCCCAUCUCCUCCGCCA
rnacentral:tRNA from 1 species